AGGAGGAAGUUCCCCUCACAACUGAACACGCUGCGGUUGUGAGUGUACAAUAUGAUGAUAAUCUGGUCUGGCUGCUUCUAAAAUACUUUUGUUGUGGUGGCUACAGAGAUUAUUUUUAUUUUAUUCAAAGUUACUUAAAAACGUGAUUUGGCUCAGAAUAUUGCUGUAAAACGACACGAUGGUUUUGUGCUGUGGACCACGUGGUCAUGGCAUCGACACAUGUUACUGGAGUUCAGAUCUGCAGACGGUUGUAUGGAACAAAGCAAAGUUUAACGGGCCAACCUGAGGCCUUUAUUUACAGGAAAUGAAUUUAAACAUGUAGGAACGAUUGUGAGGAGUACAAAUGUGAUCUGUGUCUGAUCUACAGCUGCUUCAGCUGGAUGUGCUUACUGGAUACAUCUGAUCUACAAGAGGAGUGUCUGCAGUGCAGUUUUCACCCUGUGUUCAGUCUGCAUCGUGACCUGGAUUAACAGUUACUAAAGAACGCUAAACUGAAGAAUGAGACGAGUUGAUUAAAUUUGCACAAAUGCAUCUUGUAAAUAACAUUUUAUACAGCAUACAAUAAAUAAAACUGUCAACAAUACAA